UACGAAGGGGGGCUAGCGUUGCUCGGAAUGACUGGGCGUAAAGGGCGCGUAGGCGGUUUGUACAGUCAGAUGUGAAAUUCCUGGGCUUAACCUGGGGGCUGCAUUUGAUACGUGCAGACUUGAGUGAGGAAGAGGGUUGUGGAAUUCCCAGUGUAGAGGUGAAAUUCGUAGAUAUUGGGAAGAACACCGGUGGCGAAGGCGGCAACCUGGUCCUUGACUGACGCUGAGGCGCGAAAGCGUGGGGGAGCAAACAGG
rnacentral:rRNA from 1 species